rnacentral:rRNA from 1 species
AAUCAACGCUGGCGGCGUGCCUCAGACAUGCAAGUCGAACGAUUAAAGCUCUCUUCGGAGAGUGUAUAGAGUGGCGCACGGGUGAGUAACACGUAAGUAAUCUACCUUUGAGUGGGAAUAACGUCCGGAACGGACGCUAAUACCGCAUAAUGCAGCGGCAUCGCAAGAUGACAGUUGUUAAAGAUUUAUCGCUUGAAGAGGAGCUUGCGGCAGAUUAGCUAGUUGGUAAGGUAAUGGCUUACCAAGGCUACGAUCUGUAACCGGUCUAAGAGGACGGUCGGUCACACUGACACUGAAUAACGGGUCAGACUCCUACGGGAGGCAGC